AUGUUCUACACCUUUGCCGACUUCAGUAUUGAAGGUGACAAAGAGAUGCUGCGAAGUUCUGGUUUGGAGAUCAACCCCGACAAGUACAUCGACAUCCAUCGCAAAUGGAGAGUUCCGUUCAAGGGAAGAAAGAGGUACCACUCUUUGGCUGAUGUUGCAGGGAGCAUGAUCCACCCAUUCUACAAACAGAUGAAGGAUAAGAUUGACAGGGUUGAAGACCAUAAACUGUGGGGGAUCAGCCCACUGCCAAAUUACCUCAUCGAGUAUGCAGCGAUAGAUGCGUACGCCACCUACGAGUCUUGGAAGAGAAUUGAAAACAUCAGAGAAGGACUGGAGAGUGCAAAAGAGGCAGAGAAGAAUUAUGACGAUCCUUACUACGUCUACUAG
rnacentral:rRNA from 1 species